rnacentral:rRNA from 1 species
GACGAACGCUGGCGGCGUGCUUAAUACAUGCAAGUCGAGCGAGGUUACUGUUUUGGAUCCCUUCGGGGUGAAGAAGCUUUAACCUAGCGGCGGACGGGUGAGUAACGCGUGGGUAACCUACCCCAAAGUCCGGGAUAACAGCGGGAAACCGCUGCUAAUACCGGAUGUCUUUACCUUGGGGCAUCUUGAGGUAAAGAAAGGCAACGCUUUGGGAUGGGCCCGCGUCCCAUUAGCUAGUUGGUGAGGUAACGGCUCACCAAGGCGACGAUGGGUAGCCGGCCUGAGAGGGUGGACGGCCACACUGGGACUGAGACACGGCCCAGACUCCUACGGGAGGCAGCAGUAGGGAAUAUUGCGCAAUGGACGGAAGUCUGACGCAGCGACGCCGCGUGAGCGAUGAAGGUCUUCGGAUCGUAAAGCUCUGUCCUUGGGGAAGAAGGCGAAAGCUUGACGGUACCCAAGAAGAAAGCCCCGGCUAACUACGUGCCAGCAGCCGCGGUAAUACGUAGGGGGCGAGCGUUGUCCGGAAUUACUGGGCGUAAAGGGUGCGUAGGCGGCCCUUUAAGUCGGAUGUGAAAGCCCGCGGCUUAACCGCGGAAUGGCAUUCGAAACUGGAGGGCUUGAGUGUCGGAGAGGGUAGUGGAAUUCCCAGUGUAGCGGUGAAAUGCGUAGAUAUUGGGAGGAACACCAGUGGCGAAGGCGACUACCUGGACGAUAACUGACGCUGAGGCACGAAAGCUAGGGGAGCAAACAGG